GAUCCUGGCUCAGAACGAACGCUGGUGGCGUGUCUUAUACAUGCAAGUCGAGCGAGGCAGCAAUGCCGAGCGGCGAACGGGUGAGUAACGCGUAAGCAAUCUGCCCCAUAUCAGGAAAUACCCGUGCCAACGCGCGGUUAAUGUCCAGGAGAGUGGCCCUCUGCAUGGAGGGUUGACUAGAGAUUUAUCGGUAUGGGAUGAGCUUGCGUCCGAUUAGCUAGUUGGCGGGGCAACGGCCCACCAAGGCGACGAUCGGUAGCCGGCCUGAGAGGGUGAUCGGCCACAUUGGGACUGAGAUACGGCCCAGACUCCUACGGGAGGCAGCAGUAGGGAAUAUUGCACAAUGGGGAAACCCUGAUGCAGCAACGCCACGUGUGGGAAGAAGCAUUUCGGUGUGUAAACCACUGUCAUGAGGGAAUAAGGCCCUUAUUCGUAAGGGAUUGAAUGUACCUUGAGAGGAAGCACCGGCAAACUUCGUGCCAGCAGCCGC
rnacentral:rRNA from 1 species